GGUGAUAUAGCCAAGUGGUAAGGCAGAGGUCUGCAAAACCUCGAUCAUCGGUUCGAAUCCGAUUUUCACCU
rnacentral:tRNA from 1 species